AGCGAACGCUGGCGGCAGGCCUAACACAUGCAAGUCGAACGAACUCUUCGGAGUUAGUGGCGGACGGGUGAGUAACACGUGGGAACGUGCCUUUAGGUUCGGAAUAACUCAGGGAAACUUGUGCUAAUACCGAAUGUGCCCUUCGGGGGAAAGAUUUAUCGCCUUUAGAGCGGCCCGCGUCUGAUUAGCUAGUUGGGGAGGUAAAGGCUCACCAAGGCGACGAUCAGUAGCUGGUCUGAGAGGAUGAUCAGCCACAUUGGGACUGAGACACGGCCCAAACUCCUACGGGAGGCAGCAGUGGGGAAUCUUGCGCAAUGGGCGAAAGCCUGACGCAGCCAUGCCGCGUGAAUGAUGAAGGUCUUAGGAUUGUAAAAUUCUUUCACCGGGGACGAUAAUGACGGUACCCGGAGAAGAAGCCCCGGCUAACUUCGUG
rnacentral:rRNA from 1 species